UUAGUACUUAUGUGUGGUGCUAAGGAGGAGUUUUUCUGUAAGCACUGAAUUUGCUUUGUGUUUUUUGAGUUGUGUGGGUUUUUUUUUUCCCUCCCAUACUUUCUUCAUAACGUCAGCAGGCAGGACAUGGAUACUGGGAGAAAAAAGGAGAAAAGAAGCAGAGGAUGAAAGGAGAGCUGGUUACCCAGGCUGCUGCUGUGAGGGGACUGUGCUAGAGCUUUUCAGAAGGUGUGUCUUAGUGAGAUGGAAGAUGGUAUGUUGCUAUUGUAAGAGCAUUCUAAGCUGUGGAUCGUGAGCCAACAGACACUUCCGAUUGAGUCCAGAGGAAGACUUUCCUGGUUUUCAGGAAAUCUAGGAAACCACCACAUUACAGCCAUUGGGUUUGGCAGAGUGGGCUUGGAAGUGGUAAGCUGAGAGGUGGGCAGCAGUAUGCAUCCAGCAGGAGAGGGCUGAGAUGUGUGUUCCCUGGAGAUUACAGAUGGAAGAGAAUGGAGCCUGGCUAGUUAAGCCUUCCUCACUGAUCUGCACUGCUGAUGUCUGAGCUACUUCAUAUGUUUCAGAGCUGUGUUACAGGCUCACCAAAGAUGGCUGUGACACUGCACAUGUUGAAGCUCUUGUGUCACCGUGCUUUUGAUGCACAGUUUAGCUCUGAGCUAAAGGCAGAAGAGCCUUGCAGGAACCUUGUUGGUGUUACUGUGACACUGGCAGCCAGAUCUUAGCCAGGGCUCUGCCCUUCCCUUACUGAAUAGGGAAAUCAUCUAACUUAGUUUUUCCCAUAAGUGAAGGGGUAGUGGUAUUUGCUGUGAAAUCUAUGAAUAAGAAACUCUAUGCAAAUAUGCAGUUUUAUUUCUUCUGGGAUUUUGGGCUGGGAGAAGUAGCAGGUGAUCACUCUGUAAUCAAUUCUUCUCUGUUAUGAACAGAACAGUAGUCAGCUUCUUGAAAAUCAUCCAGCUUCCUUUUUCCUGCCAGUCUCGGCUUCUAUUCUCCUUUCCAGAGCCCUUGGCUCAACCAUUAACCACACCAGCAUUUCACCAGUUGCAACAUGUAGCUCCUCUUGAAUUGGAGUGGGAGGAAGGCUUGGAGGAGGAGGUGGUGGAGAGGGAGAGAACAGUUGCUGCAGAGAACAGAAGGCUAAUUGCAAACUUAUAAGCCUCCAGUGAAUUAAGAAAAUGGGGGAGAGUGGCUGGAAACAGGAGAGAUGAAAGGUGCGAGACUGAAAAAUAUAUUGGUAGCUGGUAGCUGUUCCAAGAGUUGGUGCAAGGCAAUCAGUGUGGAAUAGGAAAGAGGCAUUUCUUGGUCGACACUCUGAGGGGCAUUGCCAGUAAAAAGCUAAGAAUCAGUAAACUGAUUAGAAUUCUGAGACCACUGAGAAAACUUCUGGACUGAAUUCACAGCAGCCUUAUUUCCAGGAAAGCAGCUCAUCUUGAGCUCAUUCUGCCUGGAUGGAAAAAAGCAAGUCUUUAAGAUAAUUAACAAGUUUCUAUUACUUUGUGUGUUCUUAACCUAAGGCCCGUCUACUUUUAAGUUUCCAUUGCCAAAUUUCUGUUCCAGCAAGUAGCUGACGUGGAAGGAUAGCAGCUAUGUUGCAUCGUAUUGAUACUGAAUUUCGUAAAUCAGGAUGAAGGCAAUAAUCAGUGCAUUUCCUUGUUCUGCACUAGAAAUAAUUGUACAGCUGUCAAAUUCUCACUCAGGAAAACAGAUUCAGGACACCACGGCAGUGAAUAUGUACUUGCCAGAGUAACAGCUGUCAAAUUCUCAGAAAACAAACCCAUGCAGUGCAGCAGUAGAUCUCAGUUGCCUAGAAUAACUCAAUUUGUAUGUGCACUUCUGUAUUUUCUCCUGCUUUGAAAACAUCUGCUCCUAUUUCAUUGGUCAUUAGAAGUAUUUAGUUUGUAUUUUCUGUGUAUGGGCAUGAAGUUACUUCAUGCAGCCUAUAUAACAUCAGGAAAGUAUCUGUAGUGGCACCAAUGACCCAAAUAACUUUCAAUGGAAUGUUCUUGGACUCUUUUAAUAUUGGCAUUUUAAAUUAGAUGUCUCCUUUCUGCAAGUCAGUGUCUAAACUGCAAUUGCGAAGUAGUUACUUGUGACACAAGUGCUGAAAACUGAUCAAAAUAAAGUGUUGGAAAUAGUUGCACACACAAAUGCUUUGGUUCCAGACUUCUAAAUCAAAUUAAA